rnacentral:snoRNA from 1 species
GAUGACAGAUGAUGAUAUAAUUUGCGAUCUAGGGCAAGAUCACCUGGACACGCCUAGUCCAACUAAAGGUGUCUUGUGGAAUGCGACAAAAUUCUAGUCUGAAGUCUUA